CAGCCGCCGCGGUAAUACGAAGGGGGCUAGCGUUGUUCGGAUUUACUGGGCGUAAAGCGCACGUAGGCGGAUCGAUCAGUCAGGGGUGAAAUCCCAGAGCUCAACUCUGGAACUGCCUUUGAUACUGUCGAUCUGGAGUAUGGAAGAGGUGAGUGGAAUUCCGAGUGUAGAGGUGAAAUUCGUAGAUAUUCGGAGGAACACCAGUGGCGAAGGCGGCUCACUGGUCCGUUACUGACGCUGAGGUGCGAAAGCGUGGGGAGCAAACAGGAUUAGAUACCCCCGUAGUCCCUGUCUCUUAUAC
rnacentral:rRNA from 1 species